UGCGGGGGUGGCCCAGCCAGGUCAAAGGCGAUGGGCUUAGGACCCAUUCUCGUAGGAGUGCGAGGGUUCGAAUCCCUCCCCCCGCAU
rnacentral:tRNA from 1 species